rnacentral:rRNA from 1 species
UUGCGGACGGGUGAGUAACGCGUGGGGAACCUGCCCUGUACAGGGGGAUAACACUUAGAAAUAGGUGCUAAUACCGCAUAAGCGCACAGUAUCGCAUGAUACAGUGUGAAAAACUCCGGUGGUACAGGAUGGACCCGCGUCUGAUUAGCUGGUUGGCGGGGUAACGGCCCACCAAGGCGACGAUCAGUAGCCGGCCUGAGAGGGUGAACGGCCACAUUGGGACUGAGACACGGCCCAAACUCCUACGGAAGGCAGCAG